AAUUCCCUAGAAAAAGCAGUUAAAUAUAAACGUACUAAAACCGACACAGGUAAACUAGUAACUUACUAAGGCGAUGGGUUAACUAUGCUAAAGGAACUCGGCAAAUUCAAUCUGUAACUUCUGGAGAAAGAUUAUCACAAUAGCUUUAUGACCUUUUCCAACGGCAGAGAAUCUCCC
rnacentral:rRNA from 1 species